rnacentral:rRNA from 3 species
AAAACUUUUAACAACGGAUCUCUUGGUUCUGGCAUCGAUGAAGAACGCAGCGAAAUGCGAUAAGUAAUGUGAAUUGCAGAAUUUAGUGAAUCAUCGAAUCUUUGAACGCACAUUGCGCCCUCUGGUAUUCCGGGGGGCAUGCCUGUUCGAGCGUC